UGGGGAAUUUUGGACAAUGGGCGAAAGCCUGAUCCAGCAAUGCCGCGUGUGUGAAGAAGGCCUUCGGGUUGUAAAGCACUUUUGUCCGGAAAGAAAGCGCCGUGGUUAAUACCCGUGGCGGAUGACGGUACCGGAAGAAUAAGCACCGGCUAACUACGUGCCAGCAGCCGCGGUAAUACGUAGGGUGCAAGCGUUAAUCGGAAUUACUGGGCGUAAAGCGUGCGCAGGCGGUCCGCUAAGACAGAUGUGAAAUCCCCGGGCUUAACCUGGGAACUGCAUUUGUGACUGGCGGGCUAGAGUAUGGCAGAGGGGGGUAGAAUUCCACGUGUAGCAGUGAAAUGCGUAGAGAUGUGGAGGAAUACCGAUGGCGAAGGCAGCCCCCUGGGCCAAUACUGACGCUCAUGCACGAAAGCGUGGGGAGCAAACAGGAUUAGAUACCCUGGUAGUCCACGCCCUAAACGAUGUCAACUAGUUGUCGGGUCUUCAUUGACUUGGUAACGUAGCUAACGCGUGAAGUUGACCGCCUGGGGAGUACGGUCGCAAGAUUAAAAACU
rnacentral:rRNA from 1 species